AACGAACGCUGGCGGCAUGCCUAACACAUGCAAGUCGAGCGGAGAUGAGGUGCUUGCACCUUAUCUUAGCGGCGGACGGGUGAGUAAUGCUUAGGAAUCUGCCUAUUAGUGGGGGACAACAUUCCGAAAGGAAUGCUAAUACCGCAUACGUCCUACGGGAGAAAGCAGGGGAUCUUCGGACCUUGCGCUAAUAGAUGAGCCUAAGUCGGAUUAGCUAGUUGGUGGGGUAAAGGCCUACCAAGGCGACGAUCUGUAGCGGGUCUGAGAGGCUGAUCCGCCACACUGGGACUGAGACACGGCCCAGACUCCUACGGGAGGCAGCAGUGGGGAAUAUUGGACAAUGGGGGGAACCCUGAUCCAGCCAUGCCGCGUGUGUGAAGAAGGCCUUAUGGUUGUAAAGCACUUUAAGCGAGGAGGAGGCUACUGAGACUAAUACUCUUGGAUAGUGGACGUUACUCGCAGAAUAAGCACCGGCUAACUCUGUGCCAGCCGCCGCCGUAACAC
rnacentral:rRNA from 1 species